rnacentral:rRNA from 1 species
UGCAUAUCAAUAAGCGGAGGAAAAGAAACCAACAGGGAUUGCCCUAGUAACGGCGAGUGAAGCGGCAACAGCUCAAAUUUGAAAUCUGGCUCUUUUAGAGUCCGAGUUGUAAUUUGCAGAGGGUGCUUUGGCUUUGGCAGCGGACCAAGUUCCUUGGAACAGGACGUCACAGAGGGAGAGAAUCCCGUACGUGGGCGCUAGCUAUUGCCGGGUAAAGCCCCUUCGACAAGUCGAGGUGUUUGGGAAUGCAGCUCUAAAUGGGAGGUAAAUUUCUUCUAAAGCUAAAUACUGGCCAGAGACCGAUAGCGCACAAGUAGAGUGAUCGAAAGAUGAAAAGCACUUUGGAAAGAGAGUCAAACAGCACGUGAAAUUGUUGAAAGGGAAGCGCUUGCACCCAGACUUGCUUGCAGUUGCUCAUCCGGCCUUUUGCCCGGUGCACUCUUCUGCAGGCAGGCCAGCAUCAGUUUGGGCGGAGGGAUAAAGGUCUCUGACACGUUCCUUCCUUCGGGAUGGCCAUAUAGGGGAGACCCCAUACCACCAGCCUGGACUGAGGUCCGCGCAUCUGCUAGGAUGCUGGCGUAAUGGCUGCAAGCGGCCCGCCUUG